rnacentral:rRNA from 1 species
UGGAUGAUGUGGAUUAAUUCGAUGCAACGCCGAAAACCUUACCUACCCUUGACAUGUCCGGAAUCCCGAAGAGAUUUGGAGUGCUCGCAAGAGAACCGGAACACAGGUGCUGCAUGGCUGUCGUCAGCUCGUGUCGUGAGAUGUUGGGUUAAGUCCCGCAACGAGCGCAACCCUUGUCAUUAGUUGCCAUCAUUUGGUUGGGCACUCUAAUGAGACUGCCGGUGACAAACCGGAGGAAGGUGGGGAUGACGUCAAGUCCUCAUGGCCCUUAUGGGUAGGGCUUCACACGUCAUACAAUGGUCGGUACAGAGGGUUGCCAACCCGCGAGGGGGAGCUAAUCCCACAAAGCCGAUCGUAGUCCGGAUCGCAGUCUGCAACUCGACUGCGUGAAGUCGGAAUCGCUAGUAAUCGUGGAUCAGAAUGUCACGGUGAAUACGUUCCCGGGUCUU